rnacentral:rRNA from 1 species
AAUCAACGCUGGCGGCGUGCCUCAGACAUGCAAGUCGAACGAUUAAAGCUCUCUUCGGAGAGUGUAUAGAGUGGCGCACGGGUGAGUAACACGUAAGUAAUCUACCCUCGAGUGGGGAAUAACAACCGGAAACGGUUGCUAAUACCGCAUAAUGCAGCGGCACCGCAAGGUGACAGUUGUUAAAGAUUUAUCGCUUGAGGAGGAGCUUGCGGCAGAUUAGCUAGUUGGUAGGGUAACGGCUUACCAAGGCUACGAUCUGUAACCGGUCUAAGAGGACGGUCGGUCACACUGACACUGAAUAACGGGUCAGACUCCUACGGGAGGCAGCAGUCGGGAAUUUUGGGCAAUGGGCGAAAGCCUGACCCAGCAACGCCGCGUGAAGGAUGAAGUAUUUCGGUAUGUAAACUUCGAAAGAAUAGGAAGAAUUAAUGACGGUACUAUUUAUAAGGUCCGGCUAACUACGUGCCAGCAGCCGCGGUAAAGUCUGUACU